rnacentral:rRNA from 1 species
UUUCGAAUCAUUCACAAUGGGCGAAAGCCUGAUGGUGCAACGCCGCGUGGGGGAUGACGGUCCUCGGAUUGUAAACCCCUGUCACCAAGGACUAAACGGUGGGCUCAUACCCCGCCCUGAAUUAACUUGGAGAGGAAGCCGUGGCUAACUCCGUGCCAGCAGCCGCGGUAAUACGGAGACGGCAAGCGUUACUCGGAUUCACUGGGCGUAAAGGGUGCGUAGGCGGCAAGGUGUGUCGGGUGUGAAAUCCCAUCGCUCAACGAUGGACGUGCGCCCGAAACUACCUAGCUAGAGACUCGGAGAGGUGAGUGGAAUUCCUGGUGUAGCGGUGAAAUGCGUAGAUAUCAGGAGGAACACCCAUGGCGAAGGCAGCUCACUGGACGAGAUCUGACGCUGAGGCACGAAAGUGUGGGGAGCGAAAGGGAUUAGAUACCCGUGUAGUCC